UGACGGCAGUUUGCAAGCUCCUGUCUAGACGCGGCGGUGACUGAAGACUGAAGGCAGUUGUCUCUACUUCCUCAUAGAGACGAAGUGAUCAGGCUACAGGUGGACUCUGCAAGCAGAGCCUAGCUGACCGCAGGCCACCUCAAUAGGAAAGCAAAGCAGAAGAAAAAGACUUCACCACAGAGAUUGAGAGAUUUACUUGAUGGACCAGAGCAACAUUGGCUGUGGAGCUGGAGUUUAUCUGGAAACUUUUCAACCAAACUGCUAAAUUGAGGGAAGCACACAAGCAAGGCCACUGCCAAGCUCUGAAGAAACAUAAGAAUUUCAGUGUGAAUUUGUGAAAAUAUCUGAAUCUGCACAAACCAGGCAAGCAUUGAGCUGGGGAAA
rnacentral:lncRNA from 1 species